rnacentral:rRNA from 1 species
UACGUAGGUUUCCAGCGUUGUCCGGAGUUAUUGGGCGUAAAGAGCGCGCAGGCGGCCGUUCAAGUCGAGUGUGAAAGCCCCCGGCUCAACUGGGGAGGGUCAUUCGAUACUGAUCGACUCGAAGGCAGGAGAGGGAAGUGGAAUUCCCGGUGUAGUGGUGAAAUGCGUAGAUAUCGGGAGGAACACCAGUGGCGAAGGCGGCUCCCUGGCCUGAUGUUGACGCUGAGGAGCGAAAGCUAGGGGAGCAAACGGG